rnacentral:lncRNA from 1 species
UUCUGGUGAACAGGUCAGAUAUCGUCCAAAUACUCCUCUUGUGCUCAAAGGCAUUACUUUAAGCAUUACCGGAGGCGAAAAAGUCGGUGUUGUGGGUCGAACUGGGAGUGGAAAGUCAACUUUAAUUCAAGUAUUAUUUAGGCUGGUGGAACCUUCGGGAGGGAAAAUAGUGGUUGAUGGUAUUGACAUAUCCAUCUUGGGACUUCACGAUCUUAGAUCACGGUUUGGCAUAAUUCCUCAGGAGCCUGUGCUUUUUGAAGGAACAGUCAGAAGCAACAUUGAUCCAAUUGGACAAUAUACAGAUGAAGAAAUAUGGAAGGUAAGUAGCGAACCAAUUGAAAUCUGUAAACUUUUCGGAUGAAGAUUUUGAAUCCAUGAGUCUAAUAACUGUGUUGUGGUAGAGCUUGGAGCGUUGUCAGCUAAAAGAUGUUGUUGCAGCUAAGCCUGAAAAACUUGACUCUUCAGGUAGAGAGAGAUUUUCCUGAUUGAUUUGGGUUGUUUAGUUUUCUUCAUUUUUGUACUAAUGAGAAAGAUGUGUUUGAACAAUGAAGUGGUGGAAAACGGAGAGAACUGGAGUGUGGGGCAAAGACAGUUGCUUUGUCUAGGGCGAGUUAUACUUAAGAAAAGCCGACUUUUGUUUAUGGAUGAGGCAACAGCUUCUGUUGAUUCUCAAACUGAUAGUGUUAUUCAAAAGAUCAUAAGAGAGGAUUUUGCAGCAUGCACCAUCAUCAGCAUUGCUCACAGAAUACCCACAGUCAUGGACUGUAACAGAGUUUUAGUUGUAGACGCAGGUAUAUCUAUAUUUAUAUCUAUAUAUUCUGAUACUCUCAUUGCGUUGCAUUGCAUUGCUCACUGCAUGAUCCUUGUGCUUUUUCCAUAUAGUAGCCUGAAUUUGCUGUUUUUUCUGUGUCAGGUUUGGCGAAAGAAUAUGACAAGCCUUCCAAUUUGCUUCAGAGAGAAUCUCUGUUCGGGGCAUUAGUUCAAGAAUAUGCCAACCGAUCCACUGAACUAUAAGAAAUUAAGAGUCUCUUUAUGCUCCUAGUGUUGGUUUUUUUUUGGCCUAGUAUAGUUGUUAGUUAAAAACACAAUAAAAGUGUAAUAAAUUUUAGGACUGUUGCCAAAUUGUAUUAUAUAUAAUAUUAUAUAUUAUAUAUCAUACAUUGUCUCUAGAAUGAAGAUUUUGUUACCAACUUCAAAAUUCAAGGAAAAAUCGUUUAUCGAAAUUAAUCAUGAUAUUUUUAAAAAUAAAUAAAAUUAAAAAAAACAAAAUCCUAAGUUACUAAAAAUAGAUUAAAAUACCACAAAACACAGAAAUAUCUAUUAUUCCUAAUAUAUUAUAAAUAUAAUGUGUACCUUGUUCGUUGUUGGUUGCAGCGAGCUUCUUCGGGUGUAUAGGGUUUGGAAAGUGAAAUGAAAGAGUGAAGAUUGUGGUGUUAAGGUUGGGAAAAUAAAGUUUGAGAAAAAAGUGAGUGGAUGGGCUAAAAUAUAAGGAGAGAAUAAAUUUCUUUUUACCUUAGUAAAAAAGUCCAUGAUACUUUCAAGGAUUUAAAAAAAUUUAAGAAUGCCGAAAGAAAAAUUAGAGAUGCAAUAAGAAAGCCCCUCCACAAAACUCUCACACAAAGUGAGUUCCAAAGCCCAAUUGGAUUUGAAUUACAGUAAAAACUAUAAUUAAAUCUUUUAAGUACUUAAAAUAUUAUAAAUUAUAAAUUGAUCUUUAAAUAUUUUCGUUGAUUAUAAAAGAACUUUCAUUGAUUAAAAGAAUUUAAUUGAGUUUUAUUAUUUAAGAUUCAAUUAAAAGGUCAGAAUCUAACUCAUUUUAAGUCUACUAAACCCUUAUUCUGUUUGAGCUAUCUAUAUAUUGUUGGAUAUUAUAUAAUCUUGUCUUAUGUCUAAGUUUGAAUUAAAAUGAUUUAUUUUGAAUUGAGCUUAACUCAAUAAACUCAAAAUGCGUUCAACUCGACUUGUUUCAACACUACUUAAUUCUACUCGUGGUGGAGCCUAUAGGAUGACAAAUGAACUUAUGUUAUAGAAUUCAAAAUGUUUUAAUCUUGAAAGGGAAUCUUUGCAUUAAUUGGAUAUGAUGGUAAUAUCUAUUUUUUUUUUAAAUUAGAUGAGACUUGGAUGAGUAUAUACAUAUGUCCCAUACUCCUUUGCAUUUUAAAUUAUUAAAACACUUUUGAUUUAUAAGGUAAUAUAAAAAAAAAAAAAGCUUUAUACCUCUUUUCUUGAGAGAGGGGAAUGUUUAAAGUGAUUCUACCUUCUUAAAAGAGUUGGAAAAGGUUAAAUUGUGAAAAAACGGGUCAAGUUAAUUCUUUUUACUUAUAGCAUUAAAAAUUUAACGGUGCAAGUGCCUCCUUGGCCAAAUCUUAAUGAACUGUCCACUUUUUCUCGUAUGUGACACAUUGAGGUAAUAUGAUGUGUCAAAUUUGAAUUUUAAAAAAAAUUGCUUGCCACAUCAACUUCAACUUCCCCCUCCAGAAACAUUAUAGUCACAAACCGCCACCAUCAACACCUUAGACCAUUGCUAAGGCUACCUGCUUCUUCCUAACAACCAGAUCACAUUUUCCUCCUCUAUGUGUCACCGCAACGAAACCAAAAAACCACCAUCAUCUUCUCCGCCAAACUUUUGAAAAAACUCAGAAUCAACCACGUGAACUCCAUCAACAACCGUGAACAAUCACGGCCAGCCACCAUGGCCAAUGUUCAUCUCCUUCCUAACGAUUCAACCAUAGUGAUACCUGUAAUCCCAAAUCUACAAGCAAAUCGCGCAUCUCCACAACAAAACCCAAUUACAAUAUUCUUCAUGGUAACCAAAACGCGAGCUCCUCCACCAAUCUCCUCCUUCGAAACCUGCAAGAAAUUGCAAAGACCUAAAGAAACCCAAAUCGAGCCUCAUCCAUAGUUACCGAGAACCUGCGAAAACCAAAUUCCAGAUGAAUACUAAUCACAGGAUAGGAAAUCCCAAAUUAGGAACCCAAAUCGCAAGUUCAUCGCAAAUAAAAAAAACGCCUAACCCUCUCGCGAAAAUCAUCCAACCAAAAUUCACCAUCAGCGCAUCAAACUCUUUGAACCUGCAAGCAAACCCUUCAUAGCCAAUCUUCAUCGUGCCCGUUAACAUUUGCAUCUUAAACACAAAGCAAGCAGCUCCUUUCCUUUUAACCCUCUGCAAAAUAUUCUUUUUUAAAAAAUUAAAUUUUAUACGUCAUUUAACCUCACAAUGCCAUACAAUGACAACAACUCGACAACUCAUUGUGUUUUGUCUAGUGGGCUCCUCCAAAGUUACAAUUUUUAUACCAUAAACAAAAAAAUAUUAACUUGACUCGUUUCUUCACAAUUUAAAAAGUAUGACCACUUUGAACAUUUCCCUCAAAGAGAUAAAAAAAAGCAUUAUGCCUAUGGAAAAAGUAAACUUUUAUUUGGUUUCCAAUGUCAUAACUUAUUUUAUGACACAUUUUUUAUUAUUUUUUCUCUUUUCUAAAUUAUUUGACUUUUAUCUCAUUAUUAUUUGAUUAUAAUUUUUUUCUUGAUAUUUAACAUGAAAUAAAAUGUGCCUCCAUUUGAUAUUUUUUGUUGUGAUAUUUAUUUUUUGUAUAAAAAAAUUGUUAAUUAUAAAUGACUCCAGAUUGAGAUGAGACAAAAAAAUCUCAUAAUGUUGAAAACGAGAGUGAACUUUUAAUUUGGAAAAUAAGAAUUAGAUAAUCAUAUGCGCACUUGCCUUAUUAUCAUUCCUACUUGACUCCAUUCAAGUCAAUUUGAAGUGAUUCAACUAAGCUUGGACUAAAAGGGAUAGACUCAACUUAAUCUAAAAUUCACUCAACUAAACUAAGUUUGAAUCCGACAUUAUUUGUAUGUGUGACCCUACUCAUCGUAUACAUAACUCUAUUAAACCCAAAUUAAGAAGUCACUUUGAAUUCAAAUACGGAGAUAUAUUAAAGGUUUAAUAACCAAUUUUGUCUCCAGUUUCGUUGACAAAUAUCAAUUUAGUUACUCGUUUUAUAAGUGUUUGAAAUGGGUCAUCAUUUUCAAAAUUGAGUCAAAUUAGUCCCUUUUGUUAAACAGAAACAAAUGGUCUUAAGGGUUUAAUGAUUUAGCAUAAGAGAUAUUAUUUGCCAAAUCAUCAAGUCCUUAAAGUUGUUUGUUUCUGUUUGACCGAAGGGACUAAUUUGACUCAAAAUUUUGAAAGUAAGAACCCAUUUCAAACACUUUUAAAACGAGGGAUUAAAUUGAUAUUUAUCAACGAAACUGGGGACAAAAUUGGCUAUUAAACCUAUAUUAAAAGAUUAAGAAAACAUAUUAUUUAAAAAGAUUAAAAUAUGUAAAAAAAUAGUAAAAUGUAUUAUAUUAUUUUUAUUUUAUUGUAUAGUUUUGAUCUCUUUUCUCAUUUUUUUAAAUCAAAGUUACUUUAAAAAUUUUUAGUUUUUAUUUAUUUAGAAAAAUAUUGACACGUAAUCUAUUCGAAAAAAAAAAAAAGUUGCUUUUAUAAUACACGUUACCUUUGUCUGUCAUAGCUACUGAUAAUUGGAAAAUAUAACUGAAAAAGGAAAGACAAAAAGAUGGCCCCGCAUUUGUUACCUUGUAGCCAGCACAAGGAAGUCCAGGAACUAGCAGUUAAUUAAUUACUAUAUUUCGCCUACGCGUGAUGCACAAAAAGGGAAGGGAAGUAAGGUGCUUCUCCUUCAAAUGAGUUGUAAGCUUUCUACGUCUUCAACGUACUUUCAAUUUUUUAGCUGUAAUCACUCCCAAUGGUUAGAAGCAAUUAAUAAUUCAUAAUGCAAAAUGCUACCAGAAAUGGAAAACAUUGCUUGGUCUGAUUCAUAUCCCAUGUAAGUUAUUUAAUGUGCUAGUAUUUUACUAAGAAAAACUCCAUCAUUUUAUAGUGCAAAUUCCUGUGCAUGGUGUUGCCAUUGCUGCACCUUACUAUAACAAUUCAUUGAUACCUCUGGUUCUGAGAGGUGCAUGAAGUAACAGAGAGACUGAGAGCGAAAAGUUGAAGUUGAAGUUUCAUCACACAAGCAUGUCCCUUGCAUCUUCAACCCUCUCUUGUGCAUUCCCUGUGAAACAAACCUCAGAGGAGACGUUUCUCUCAACUAUGCUUCAAUGGCUGGGAUAUAUUUUCCUCACACCUUGUCCUCAAAGAGCUAUAUUGUCUUUCGUUGAUGUCGUACUCCUCGUGUUUCUCUUCGUGUUUGCUGCCACCAAGCUCUGGAAAAGGUCCACCUUCAAUGGUGGCUCCACUAACGACCUCAGCAGACCAUUCAUCAGAAAGAACAGACCCGUUUACUCAAUAACUGUGCGGUUUAAGUUAACCAUAACUGUAGUGGUUGUUUUGACUAUACUCUACACGGUUGCUUCUGUUCUUACGUUUAGCAGUACCUCCAUGGCGCCGUGGAAGCAGGUUGACGAGGUGUUUUGGUUAGUCCAAGCCAUAACACAGGCUGUGCUUGCCUUCUUCAUCAUCCACGAGAAAAGGAUUCAGGUCGUUGCACACCCUCUUUCCGUUCGAGUUUAUUGGAUUGUAUCUUUCUUUGUCAUUUCUUUAUUCACUGUUUCUGCGGUUAUACGUUUGGUCUCGGUGGACGUGGAUGAAGCCUUCGGCUUCGGGGUGGAUGAGGUGGUCUCUUUCAUUUCGUUCCCGCUGUCGUUAUUUCUUCUUUUUGUGGCGCUUAAAGGAUCCACCGGCAUUGUUUUGGCUACAGAAGAAACACGACCACUUGUGGAUGGAAAAACUAAGUUGCAUGAUGGUACUGAGAGAAAAUCCGAGGUUACUGGUUUUGCUUCAGCUUCUCUAUUAUCCAAGGCUUUUUGGAUUUGGAUAAACCCCUUACUGAGUAAAGGGUACAAGUCCGUGCUGAAGAUUGAUGAUAUUCCAACGCUUUCUCCGGAGCAUAGAGCUGAGAAAAUGUCAUCCAUUUUUGAAUCUAAAUGGCGUAUUUCAAACGAGACAUCAAAGCAUCCUGUUAGAAUGACUUUGCUUCGGUGCUUUUGGAAGGAGUUAGCCUUAAAUGCCGUGCUUGCAAUCAUUAGGCUCUGUGUCAUGUUUGUGGGGCCGAUUCUGAUACAAAGUUUUGUGGAUUUCACAUCAGGGAAGAGAAACUCUGAAUAUGAAGGAUACUACCUCGUGUUGAUUCUUUUCGUUGCUAAGUUCAUCGAAGUCAUGGCUACUCAUCAUUUCAACUUCCAAGCUCAAAAGCUUGGGAUGCUUAUACGCUCCACUCUUAUCUCCACUUUGUAUAGAAAGGGGUUAAAGCUAUCAUUCUCUUCUCGGAAGGAACAUGGAGUUGGGACAGUUGUGAAUUACAUGGCAGUGGAUACCCAGCAACUCUCUGACAUGAUGCUCCAGUUACACGCUGUGUGGAUGAUGCCACUCCAAGUUGGUAUUGCCUUGGUUCUGCUUUACAAUUGUUUAGGUGCAUCAGUUAUAGGCGCGUUUCUUGCUCUGCUCGGUGUUUUUGUCUAUUCUGUGAUGGGCACCCAAAGAAACAACAAGUUCCAACAAAAUCUGAUGGUGAGCCGGGACUCCAAAAUGAAAGCUGUGAAUGAGAUGCUUAGCUACAUGCGUGUGAUCAAGUAUCAGGCCUGGGAGGAACAUUUCAAUCAGAGAAUUUUGGGUUUCCGUGAAACAGAGUAUGGGUGGCUCUCCAAGCUGCUGUUCUCAAUUUGUGGCACCAUUGUUGUGUUGUGGAGCACACCGUUUUUGGCGUCAACUCUUACAUUUGGAACGGCUAUUUUGUUGGGAGUUCAACUUGAUGCAGGCACAGUGUUCACUGCAACAGCUGUGUUCAGGUUAUUGCAGGAGCCUAUUAGGACAUUCCCACAGUCUAUGAUAUCUCUUUCACAAGCAAGGAUAUCACUGGAGAGGUUAGACAAGUUCAUGUUGAGCGGAGAAUUGUCGAAUGAUUCAGUUGAGAGAGAGGAAGGAUGUGGUGGACAGACAGCCGUGGAAAUCAUACAUGGAACUUUUAGUUGGGAUGAUGAUAACACUCAGCAGGACUUGAAAAAUAUCAAUUUGAAUAUUAGAAAGGGUGAGCUUACAGCAAUUGUUGGGACCGUAGGGUCAGGAAAGUCGUCCCUUCUUGCAUCAAUUCUUGGAGAGAUGCACAAGAUUUCUGGAAAGGUAUGAUUUCUAGUUCAAAAUUUAGAACUUUUUUAAGGAUGUUUACAGUUGAGUCUGAUUAUGCAAUAAUAUAUUUCUGUGGAAGGUUCGGGUUUGUGGGAGUGUUGCUUAUGUUGCACAGACAUGUUGGAUUCAAAAUGGGACCAUUGAAGAAAACAUUCUCUUCGGUUUACCUAUGGACAGACAGAGGUACGAUGAAGUUAUCAGGGCGUGUUGUUUGGAGAAAGAUUUGGAAAUGAUGGAUUAUGGGGAUCAGACAGAAAUUGGAGAACGUGGUAUCAACCUAAGCGGAGGCCAGAAGCAGCGUAUACAACUUGCCAGGGCUGUGUAUCAAGACUGUGAUGUAUAUCUUCUUGAUGAUGUCUUCAGUGCUGUUGAUGCUCAUACAGGUUCUGAAAUAUUUAAGGUGACUAUUCCGAACAUUAGAGUCCUACUCUGGAUUACGUUUAGUGUAAAUGUACCUAUUUACUCAUUGCUAAAUUGUAUCAGGUUCAGGCAUGUGCGAGUUUGUUGCUUUAACAAUUUAACUAGUAUUCAUUGAAUUGUUACAUUAAGAAAUUCUACACAUUCCAGUUUGAUAUUGGUCAAACAUUGGAGAGGGUUAAACUCAAAACUUUGUCUAGAUUCUAACCCCUAAGCUUUUAGUGAUAUCCUACGAAUUAUCAAACAACUCUUCAUUUCUACCUAAAUAUUCUUCCUUAGUUUAGGUGCAAAAUCUAUGAUUUUUAAUGUUAGUGGAAUGGCUUCAAUACAGGAAUGCGUGAGGGGAGCUCUAAGAGGCAAGACCACUAUUCUUGUAACACAUCAAGUAGAUUUCUUACGUAAUGUGGAUCGUAUAUUAGUAAGUUUCUUUUCUCACGCUGUUAUGCUUCUUCAUUUGUUCUAUUCUUCGGAUUGAUUUGGGAAGUAAUUCAAAUACCUUUGUAUCUGCUUGAUAAAGGUGACGAGGGACGGUAAGAUAGUUCAAUCAGGGAAAUAUGAUGAUCUAUUAGAGUCUGGAAUGGAUUUUAAAGCUCUCGUCGUUGCGCAUGAGAGUUCCAUGGAAUUAGUGGAGUACUGUAUGGUCAUGCCAGGUGAAAAUUUGAACAAACCAACGAUAGCUCUAGAGGCAGCUUCAAUUAACAGGGGAACCAAUGGUGAAAACAAUUCUAUUGAUAAGCCCAAGUGUGGCAAGAAAAGUUCUAAACUCGUCCAAGAAGAGGAGAGAGCAACUGGAAAAGUGAGCUUACGUAUGUAUAAACUCUAUUGCACUGAGGCGUUUGGGUGGUUGGGCAUUACAACAGUAUUGGUCCUGUCUUUGUUAUGGCAAGCGUCUUUGAUGGCAAGUGAUUAUUGGUUGGCAUAUGAAACCUCAGAAGAACGUGCUAAAUUGUUUAACCCUUCUCUGUUCAUCUACGUCUAUGCAAUUAUUGCAGUUGUUUCCAGUGUUUUGUUAGUAGCCAGAUCCUACUUCUUUACUCUCAUGGGGCUAAGGACAGCACAAUUAUUCUUCACACAAAUUCUUCAUAGCAUCUUGCAUGCGCCCAUGUCUUUCUUUGACACCACGCCAUCUGGAAGAAUUCUAAGUAGGGUAAGAACUUAGUGCCAAGUAUGCCGUGAGGAACAUCUUCAUCAAUAUAAACUUUUACAUUUCAUAUGUUAAUCACACUCUUAUGAUGACUUAUUUUUCUUUUUUUUAACUUCUGCAGGCAUCCACUGAUCAAGCCAAUGUUGAUGGCCUUCUACCCUUAUACAUGGGAGCUAUUAUAAUCAUGCACUUAUCUUUGCUCGGCAUCUUCAUCAUAACCUGUCAAAAUUCUUGGCCAACUGUGAUUUUGAUAAUUCCUCUUGUUUGGUUAAAUAUGUGGUACCGGGUAUGAUUUUUAUUACCCUAAUGCUCUAAUGCUUUGCCUUUAUUUGGUUGCAAAUGUGUAAAACUGAAAAUACAUUCCAUCUUGUAAUAUGAAUUUGUGGAUUUUUACUAUAGCUUCCACCGUGUUAAAGCCAUUUACAGAGUUUUCUGUUCAUUGUCAAUGGAAAUUCGAAUGGCUGUGUUUGAUAAUGUGCAGAAAAAUAAACGAUUCCUGUGUUUGGAAUUGAAUUUAUCUUGUGUACUUUAUGUAAACGAUUCAUGCGUUUUCAGGGUUACUAUCUUGCAUCAUCUCGGGAAUUUACUCGCAUGGAUUCAAUUACCAAAGCCCCAGUUAUUCAUCACUUCUCCGAAAGCAUUGCAGGGGUCAUGACAAUCCGUUCAUUCAGAAAGCAAAAGAUAUUCUGUGAUGAAAAUCUGAAACGGGUGAAUGCUAAUUUGAGAAUAGAUUUCCACAACUAUAGUUGUAAUGAGUGGUUGGGAUUCCGCUUAGAAUUGAUUGGAAGCUUUGCCUUUUGCAUUUCUGCCAUGUUCAUGAUCAUCUUACCCAGCAGUAUCAUAAAGCCAGGUAAAUUGACACCAAAGAAACUCUCAAACUUCGGUGCCUAUUGUCUAUUUAUGUUAAUUUUACUCUCUGAUCACAAUAAUACUUCUUUAAAUUGCGUAUUUCUUACGAUUGUGUCUAUUUUCUGCAUACACAUCAGAUUAAAUUAUAGUACCUCGUAGUCUUGCAUUGCAUCUUAUACUAUAUAUGUCAACCAAAAUUUUAUUAUGAACUGAUUGGGUUGUUCUUCUUGAGGUAGAAAAUGUCGGUUUAUCUCUCUCUUAUGGGUUGUCCUUAAACACUGUUUUGUUCUGGGCUGUAUACAUGAGUUGUUUCAUCGAAAACAAGAUGGUGUCUGUCGAGAGGAUAAAGCAGUUUACAGAUAUUCCAUCGGAACCAGCAUGGAAUAUCAAGGAUCACCUACCUCCUUCAAAUUGGCCCGGUCAAGGAAAUGUGGAUAUCAGAGACUUAAAGGUAACUUGAGUAAGAAGAAAUUGAUUGUUUCACAUAUGAAAGCACAUCUUUUGAAAAAUAAUUCAUUGAUUUCUCUAACCUGAGCAUUGUUUCUAAUUUUGAGCUUUCCAUUACUAAUUUGCAUUGUGCAACACUAUCAUGAUGACUCGAGCUUCUGGUGAACAGGUCAGAUAUCGUCCAAAUACUCCUCUUGUGCUCAAAGGCAUUACUUUAAGCAUUGCUGGGGGUGAAAAAGUUGGUGUUGUGGGUCGAACUGGGAGUGGAAAGUCAACUUUAAUUCAAGUAUUAUUUAGGCUGGUUGAACCUUCGGGAGGGAAAAUAGUGGUUGAUGGUAUUGACAUAUCCAUCUUGGGACUUCACGAUCUUAGAUCACGGUUUGGCAUAAUUCCUCAGGAGCCUGUGCUUUUUGAAGGAACAGUCAGAAGCAACAUUGAUCCAAUUGGACAAUAUACAGAUGAAGAAAUAUGGAAGGUAAGUAGCGAACCAA